rnacentral:tRNA from 1 species
AAUUAUUUAUCUUAAUCAAAGAUUUUGUUUUGAAAACAAACUAUAAGAGUAAAUUCUCUUAAUAAUUU